rnacentral:lncRNA from 1 species
GGUCUGGACCACAGAACAGCUGUGUUUACCGCCCGACCCAGCUCUGGAGGUCUUGCUCUGCCUCGCAGGCUAGGGCACCACUGUAGCCCUAGAUGGCCAAGGCCUCUGGAAUGACCCGAAGUGGGCGCUUUCUCCAGCAUCAUGCCUGAGGAUGAUGAGGCCACAGGAAUCCCCCCAGACCCUGGGGUCAAUAUUUCAGGGCUCCUCUUCACCUUCCUCCCACCCCAGGCCUGGGAAAUCUUCCUGUGCACCAGAGUUCUUGGAGAGGACAGGGCACAGUUCCCAGUUCUGGCCCAACGGCGGCAGGGCUUGGUUCCCUGUGGCGCUCAGAGGUGGGGGCCUCCCAAAGCCGAUACCUGAUUCCUGUUCCCAGAUUGGGGAACUGGGAGGAGUGAACUUCCUAGGAAUGUGAGCCAUGUCCCUGAUUUCCAACAAACCCCAGAUGUGUGGAAACGAUGUCUUCUGAGUGCAGAGGGAGCCUUGUCCCUUGCAGAUGGGCUGCUUCCGGGGACUGCCAGGGCCGUGGCAGGCACCAUGCUGUGGCCACCCCAGUGGAGUCCCUUUGCCCGCUUCGUGUCCCGGCAUCCCCACUAGGUGCCUGGCUCUUCUGUGCAGGUGUCGGGGUGUCUGGAGCCCCGAAGUUUUUGUUUUGUUUUGUUAGAGGUGGAGAUGGUGAACCUGAACUCCCUGGGUCUCCGCCCGUUGGGGCAGGAGGGAGCCUAAUCCAGGCUUAACCGGGCUCACUGAGAAGGUGCAGGAAGCGCAGAACGACUCCCGCCCGUGUGCGGCCCACAUUGGGCCAGGGCGCUGCCGCUGGGUGUCUGCAACCGGGAGCGUCCCGGCCGCUGGAAGGAUACAGGGAAUCGGUUUCCCACGCUUUCCCUGUUGAUCUCAGAACCUUUAAAAAGCCGCCAACGAAUGCCGUUGCCCGGAUGCGCUGAGUGUGCCCUGAGCCGUGUGUUCACGCGCGCCCGCAGCCGUGCAGUGGGUCCCCUCCUGCCACCUGCCGCCCCGGGGCCGCCGGCCUGCGCUGGCCCGGGAGGAGCAACUUCGUUACCCACAGCGCCCGCGUCCUGCGGCCGGCGGGGAGCUGCGCGCCGCGGAGGUGGCACGGACCGGCUCCAGAACGCUGCCUGCAUGGACGCGGCCGCUGCCUUCAGCUCCCAGUUCUGGCCGCGCGUGGGCAGCAACGAAAUAGCGAGCCUCGCAGCCUUCCGGGCCCGGCGGCCGCAUUCCGGGAGUAGCCAGGGUCACAAGGAUCCAAGAGUUGAAGAGGGAGACAGGAGAGUCAGGGUCAGGAUGGAGAGGAGACGUGAGAAUACCAGGAAGAUUCCUCCGGCUGUGCUGGCUCUGAAGACAGAGGAAGGGGCGGUGAGACAUGGUUCAAGAACAGUCCCCAGUCUGUCACUCCCAGGCCUGUGACCCUGGGCAUAGGACCCAAGAAAGAGAGGUGAUACCCACCUCUCAGGAUUGCUGCCCGGAACAAAUAAAGUGAUGGGCUUUACAGAAACAGGUGAGUGGCAGGCAGAUGGCAUCCAUGCCCUCGCCCUGCCAGACACUCUGCCCACUGUCCCUCAUUCUGCUGAAAUGGCUCCCCAGGGUCCCCAGAGAUGUCUGAAUGGCCCUGCCAUCUCUGUUUUCCUGGGGCCCUGCAACACUUGUGCAACUCAUUCCUGAAAACGAAC